CCUGGGUGGGGAGAGCCCCUGGAGAAGGGAAUGGCAACCCACUACAGAAUUCUUGCCUGGAGAAUUCCAUGGAUAGAGGAGCCUGGAGGGCUACAGUUCAUGGGAUUGCAAAGAGCCAGCAGGACUGAGCCACUAACAACACAACUUCCUCAGAUUCAAGGGACCACAGACCUCAUCCAAGUUAAAGUGCUCCCCUGGGGGGAGCCCCAGGAGUUCAUUUCUUCAUUCCACAGAUGUUCAUUGAGUGUCUCCUGUGCGCUGAGUACUGUUCUGGGCUUUGAGGUCAUUGCAUAACAGUGCAGAGAGGACCCAGGACUCUUGUGGCUGGCUCAGUCACAGAUGCUUUCCACCCUUGUAGUGCUCCAGGAUUGACAGUCCUUUCAGUGUCGCAUGGAGUAGACAGUUCCUCAAAGAAUUAUAAAGAGGGUUGGAGACUUGGAACACAGCAAAUGCAGAAGGAGCUGAGACCAGAAAACAAGCCUCGGAGACGAUGAACUUCCCAAUGGCACUGCAGGUUAUGCCUACUUGAGGGCGCUGGUGUCCACUUCCCUUGUCUGCCAAGAUGCCCAGAGCUAAGUUUAGCACAAAAGCAAUCACUACUCCUCACUUCAAUUUCAGUUAUUAUUUGUCUUUCUAGA
ensembl:lncRNA